rnacentral:rRNA from 1 species
GACGAACGCUGGCGGCGUGCUUAACACAUGCAAGUCGAACGGAAAGGCCUCUUUCGGGGGGUACUCGAGUGGCGAACGGGUGAGUAACACGUGAGUAACCUGCCCUUGACUUUGGGAUAACUUCAGGAAACUGGGGCUAAUACCGGAUAGGAGCUCCUGCUGCAUGGUGGGGGUUGGAAAGUUUCGGCGGUUGGGGAUGGACUCGCGGCUUAUCCGCUUGUUGGUGGGGUAGUGGCUUACCAAGGCUUUGACGGGUAGCCGGCCUGAGAGGGUGACCGGCCACAUUGGGACUGAGAUACGGCCCAGACUCCUACGGGAGGCAGCAGUGGGGAAUAUUGCACAAUGGGUGGAAGCCUGAUGCACCAACGCCGUGGGCGGGAUGACGGCCUUCGGGUUGGAAACCGCUUUCGCUCAUGACGAAGCUUUGUGUGACGGUAGUGGGUAAAGAAGCACCGGCUAACUACGUG